CCUACGGGAGGCAGCAGUGAGGAAUAUUGGUCAAUGGGCGGGAGCCUGAACCAGCCAAGCCGCGUGAGGGAAGAAGGUCCAGCGUAUCGUAAACUUCUUUUGUCAGGGAACAAAGGCGGGGACUAGUCCCCGGAUGAGGGUACCUGAAGAAAAAGCAUCGGCUAACUCCGUGCCAGCAGCCGCGGUAAUACGGAGGAUGCGAGCGUUAUCCGGAUUUAUUGGGUUUAAAGGGUGGGCAGGCGGCCUGUUAAGUCAGCGGUAAAAGCCCGGGGCUAAACCCCGACGUGCCGUUGAAACUGGCGGGCUGGAGUUGGGGAGAGGUACGCGGAAUGCGCGGUGUAGCGGUGAAAUGCUUAGAUAUCGCGCAGAACCCCGAUUGCGAAGGCAGCGUACCGGCUCCACACUGACGCUGAGGCACGAAAGCGUGGGUAGCGAACAGGAUUAGAUACCCCUGUAGUC
rnacentral:rRNA from 1 species